CAGUGAUUUACAGAAAAUGAGCAAUGUAGAAAUUUUUUUUUUAAAAAAAGAGCUCUUCCUGUGCUUUUGUGUGGGGAUUGAACUCCUGUCUGGAAAUCCUGCAAGGAAUGGCUUAUCCAGUCUCAGUGGACAGUGGUCAUAGGAGAGGGCCGCAUUCAUGUGAAAAACAGAGACAUGCUUUCCUGUUUUACACACAGCAUGUGGGACAACACCAAGUCUAGCAGGCAUCUAUAAUCUGUCCUCUGUUGCAGCCAAACAUGGUGCAAUCGGUGUGCUAAAUGAAGAUAAGCCUCAGAAGCCAUAAGGACUUAAGGAUGGCUUUAUGUACAUGGAGGUAGCUGUGACGGUGUACCCCUCCAGCCUCGCGCCCAAUGAUUUGAGGAUAGGCUCCGGACUGCCGCGACCCUGACCGGGACAAACUGUUACGCAACGUAUCUUUGUGUUGUUUUUUAUGUAGCGCCAUGG